rnacentral:rRNA from 1 species
AGAGUUUGAUCAUGGCUCAGGAUGAACGCUGGCGGCGUGCUUAAUACGUGCAAGUCGAACGGGGAAUGUAGCAAUACGUUCCUAGUGGCGAAUGGGUGCGUAACACGUGGGUGACCUACCCCGAAGUGUGGAAUAACAGAUCGAAAGAUCUGCUAAUACCGCAUGUGGUCUUGGUGUUUAGAAAUCCAAGUCUAAAGCAGCAAUGCGCUUCGGGAGGGGCCUGCGGUCCAUCAGCUAGUUGGUAGGGUAAUGGCCUACCAAGGCGACGACGGAUAGGGGACCUGAGAGGGUGACCCCCCACACUGGCACUGACACACGGGCCGGACGCCUACGGGUGGCAGCAGUAAGGAAUAUUGCCCAAUGGACGAAAGUCUGAGGCAGCAACGCCGCGUGCGCGAUGAAGGCCUUCGGGUCGUAAAGCGCUUUUCGGGGAGAUGAGGAAGGACAGUAUCCCCGGAAUAAGGUACGGCUAACUACGUGCCAGCCGCCGCGGUAAUAC